UACCACCCUUUGUUUAUUACACUUUGUUGCUUUGGCAAGCCUGCCCUCGGGCUGCUGGCUCCGGCCGGCGAGCGCUUGCCAGAGGACCUAAACUCUGUUUGUCUAUACUGUCUGAGUACUAUAUAAUAGUUAAAACUUUCAACAACGGAUCUCUUGGUUCUGGCAUCGAUGAAGAACGCAGCGAAAUGCGAUAAGUAAUGUGAAUUGCAGAAUUCAGUGAAUCAUCGAAUCUUUGAACGCACAUUGCGCCCCCUGGUAUUCCGGGGGGCAUGCCUGUCCGAGCGUCAUUACAACCCUCAAGCUCAGCUUGGUGUUGGGCCCCGCCGCCCCGGCGGGCCCUAAAGUCAGUGGCGGUGCCGUCCGGCUCCGAGCGUAGUAAUUCUUCUCGCUCUGGAGGUCCGGUCGUGUGCUUGCCAUCAACCCCCAAUUUUUUUCAGGUUGACCUCGGAUCAGGUAGGGAUACCCGCUGAACUUAAGCAUAUCAAU
rnacentral:rRNA from 1 species